GGAGCUGUGGCUCAGUGUUAGAGCACCUGCUUAGAAUGCAAAAGGUCCCAGGUUCAAACCCUGACAUCUCCA
rnacentral:tRNA from 1 species